UUUUGGUAGGAUUGACAGAUUGAGUGCUUUUCCUUGAUUCGGCAAAUGGUGGUGCAAGUCUGUUUUUAGUUGGUGCAGUGAUUUGUCUGGUUAAUUCCGAUAACGAACGAGACUCUAGCCUAUUAAAUAGGUGCGUGGUUCUCUGCACCUUGCACCCUUCUUUAAAGGACAAGCGGCUCCUAGCCGCACGAAAGAGAGCAAUAAGAGGUCUGUGAUACCCUUAGAU
rfam:Ixodes scapularis strain Wikel colony gcontig_1107728661054, whole genome shotgun sequence.